rnacentral:rRNA from 1 species
CGUGAAAUUGUUGAAAGGGAAGCGCUUGCAAUCAGACUUGCACUUGGUGUUCAUCAGGGUCUCGUACCCUGUGUACUUCAUCAAGUUCAGGCCAGCAUCAGUUUGGGUGGUUAGAUAAAGGCUUAGAGAAUGUGGCCCUCUUCGGGGGGUGUUAUAGCUCUAGGUGCAAUGUAGCCUACUUGGACUGAGGACCGCGCUUCGGCUAGGAUGCUGGCGUAAUGGUUGUAAGCGACCCGUCUUGAAACACGG